rnacentral:rRNA from 1 species
AUGUCCAAGCUGCUCUCGCUGCACCUCUCGCUCUCGGAGCAGGAGGGCUACCUCAACUCCGCCGACCAGGCGUUCCUCCUCCGCCUCACCUGCGCCGAGCUGGCGCUGUCGCUCGACGCCGCGGCAGCCGCGACAGCCGCCGUCGCGCGCCUCGGCCUGCGCUGCGGCAUCGACUUCGCCGGGGUGUUACAUCAUCAAGGUCGGCACCCGCGACGCGCGCCUUGA